rnacentral:rRNA from 1 species
UACGGGGGGAGCAAGCGUUGUUCGGAUUUACUGGGCGUAAAGGGCGCGUAGGCGGUAGCACAAGUCAGUUGUGAAAUCUUCGGGCUUAACUCGGAACGGUCAACUGAUACUGCGCGGCUAGAGUGCAGAAGGGGCAACUGGAAUUCUCGGUGUAGCGGUGAAAUGCGUAGAUAUCGAGAGGAACACCUGCGGCGAAGGCGGGUUGCUGGGCUGACACUGACGCUGAUGCGCGAAAGCCAGGGGAGCGAACGGG